UUCAACUCGGCCACACACCGCGCGAGCAACAUCCCAUUCUCAUGAUCCCUUUCGAGAAGCCGUUCAGCGUCGGUCUUAUAGCAGAUUUCCCAAGCGAUAGCAAUCGAGCAGAGGAAAGAGCAUAGGAGGGGGAUCCAAGAGGGGACAGCGGAGGAGAGGAGGAUGAGGAUGAGGGUGGAGUGGAGGGCGAAGGAGGCGCAGACCCGUCUUUUUCUUCUUCUUCUUCUUCCUCGCUGCAUUGCUCCCUACUCCAAAGAACUGAUGAAAGAGGAAUUCUCAAAGAGCAAAUCUUGAAAGAAAGC